GUGCUUGCUUUAGCUGCACAUACACUAAAUUAGAACAAUGCAGAGAAGAGUAGCAUGGUCCCCGCAUAAGGAUGACGUGCAAAUUCAUGAAGCAUUCCAUAUUUAA